rnacentral:lncRNA from 1 species
CUCAAUUCCUAAUCUACCCAAAAAUAGUCCAAACCUAAAAAAUAACAAAAUCCACCCAUUCCCUUUUAAUCCACAACAGCAGCACAAAAGAUACACCCCAACUGCACCCCUAAUGUGCUCCAUCCACUCCACCUAAAACAACCCGGCCCAUCUUCGUCUUCAACAUCAAUAAUACGUACACAGUUGCGUACAACCACGGCAAAACAACACCAACAAACGGCAAAACCCGUAACAGCGGACAAACACCCAGCAAACCUGUCAACAACAACAAACGAUAGAGCCCAUUCCAACUUCAACAGCUUCAACGCCAAACGGAGUACACCAACCGUAGUCAACCUAGGCGUUCCCGUUCUUUUACCCCUCUGUAUAGACGAUAAUGGUUAGAAACUCAUCAACUUUUCCCUCUUUCAGACUCUGCUCGUCCGUUUGCGGAAAGAAGCCAACGGAUACACCACAUUCAUUAAUGUUGGAGUACAAGGAUAUUAAUGAUUUUGUCCUACAAUGAAACUCAAAGCCUCUCAAGUAUCAAUCCCAAAUUCGGAUUUGAAAUCCACCCUUCAAAACCCCAAUUUUCCCUAUAAAUAGACGGUAAGGGAUAGGGGUGAGCGAGGAGGAUUUUUUGAGAAAAAAUUUGGGGAUUUUGGAGGCGCAUGCUUCUAACCUCACGUAAUCAAAAUCCCAAGGAAAAUACUCGAAAAUGCCAAUUCCGAUGAAAAGUUAAAAUCCCAACAAAAAAUUGAAACGCCGGAGGAUCGAGGUUGAAAUUUUGGUGGAAUUUCGUUCGACUAAUAGCUCGUCGUCUCGGUGUCACUGCCCAAAAAUGGGAAAGGCUCCAGCUUUUCUUUCUUAAAAAAUCUAUUUAUGCGAAUUCUAUUGUCGUUAUGAAUUCUGUUGUGGCUGGGAUUGGUGUUGAUUGUUUGGAUAGUAUUUUUGGGAGUAAGAACGGAACUUAAUUGUGUGGUCGGAGCCUCGCCGUAUGAUAUGUGUUACAAAUCGCCUUUUGUAUUUCACAAUUUUCUUGUUUCUGUGCUAAAUUUUCUUUUUAGGAUUUCCUUUACUCCCGUUGUGCAUAGUCUGUGACUGAUAAGGCUUUGCAUUGUUCUAUACUAGUUUUGGUCGAGAGAAUGAUCUUGUUGAAGUAAUUGAUUCGUGAUGAUACUGAUGUAAUUUUAAGCCGCGAAUUCUUUGAAGUGCCUAUCAUCAAAUAGGGUCUAUCGGCCAAAGGAGUGAAGCCACUCAUAUGUUAUGUUUAAAGUGUGCAGUUCAAGCUUGUUUUUUUUCCUUUUCUGGUCUUAUUGUUGGUUGAGUUCCCUUUUUUGUUUGCUACCAUGCCUUGUUUUCUUGUUGUUAGAUUCCAUAUUUCUUAGUUUUAGUUCAUAUUCACUCCUUUUAGUUGGCAUGAUAAGCAAUUGCUUCGUUUGAAGUCUUUUGAUCUAGUGUGCUUUAAUUCCUCUCUUUAGUUUCCGCAUGUCUCAUCUAAAUAAAAUAAUGCUACAGUUAGGCUGCUGUUAGAUGUUUUAUAUGUAGUUUAUGAGUGGUAAAGUUGUUGAAAUUUGUUACUCAAUAAUCUCAUUAUAGGUUACUGUUAGAUGUUUUGGCCCCUUUUUGGGUUUUCUGUACAUAUGUUUAACAUGAGAUGGGUAUUGGGCCUUUCCUUGAUAUGGAAAUUUAAUCCUCCUUAUAAAUGGUAGCCUAGAAUCUAUUUGUUCAUGCAUGAAUAGAGACAAAAGGAAGAAGAUACAAUCGCUAUGUGCUCUUAUCAUGGCUAUUUUCAUUUAAUAACCUUGCCUACUGCUAUAUGUUCUUACCAUGGCUAUUUUUAUUUAACGGAAAAGGCUCAAAAAUAUUUCUGAACUAUUCGAAAUAGCUCAAAAAUGUCUUUCGUUAGAUUUUUGGCUUAAAAAUACCCCUCCGUUAAAUAUUUGGCUCAAAAAUAUCCCUCCCUCUAACGGAAUUCGGAAAAUGAUCAAAAAUACCCCUGAACUAUUUGAAAUGGAUAAAAAAUACUCCUCUGGUAAAUAUUUGGCUCAAAAAUACCCCUCCCUUAACGAAAUUAAAUUAUUUCGAUUAUUUCGUUAAUUUAUAUAAAGUUCAUCAUUUAAUUUAUAUUUCGUUAAUUUCUUUAGGUGAAAAUUUAUAUUUCGUUAAUUUUUUUAAAGAUUAAAAAGAUGUAAAGUGAAAAAUACCUUUUUAGAAUAAAUGUAUGUUUAUUUUCCAAAUCAAAUUCAACCAAUUUAUAUUAUAAUUCAAAUACUUUUUUUCGUUAUCUUAUUUUAAAAUUAAAAAAAUACUUUUAUGUAAAAAAAUACUUUUAUGUAAAAAAUUAAAGUAAAGUUAAGUUCGGGUUUAAUUCAAUUGAAAUAAUUUAAUUUCUUAAGGGGAGGGGUAUUUUUGAGUUAAAUAUUCAACAGAGGGUAUUUAACGAAAUUAAAUUAUUUUGAUUAUU